ensembl:lncRNA
CUGAUUUCGGCUCAGGUCAUGAUCUCAUGGUCCGUGGGUUCGAGCCCCACAUCAGGCUCUGUGCCGACAGCUCAGAGCCUGGAGCCUGCUUCAGAUUCUGUGUCUCCCUCUCUCUCUGCCCCUCCCCACUCACACUCGGUCUCUCUCUCUCUUUCAAAAAUAAACAUCAAAAAAUUUUAAAAAAAUAAAAAAGGAACAGAAACUUAAACAAGUAGAAAAUCUACUGAUGACUUUCAUUAGACGAACCAAGGAAAUAAUUCGAACCUAGUAAUAACCGUGACAAAAUAUUGCUUACUAAUGAUGAUGCUAAUUAGUACCUUCUUUUUCAUGUAGCAUCUUUCCCUUGCUAAAAAGUUGCCAAAUUUACAAAUUUAUGGAUUGCGCCAUACAAAGACGUGUGAAGCCUUGUUGUGUGGACCGACUUCGGCUUUAGGUCCCCACUUAAAACAGAAGGAAUAGAGCCGAAUGGGACGGUGGAUCUUUCCUGGGUCUAAAGCUGUCAUCCGUCCACGUGCCCCCGCCUGGGCACGGAGGACCAAGGAUGACCCCAGGGCCGAAUCAGCCAGCGGGCCUGGUCCCUAAGGCCUCAUGCAAAGUACGCUGGAUCUGAUACGUUUCAAAAACACAGAUUUAUGCUUUUCUUUUGGAUUCUUAGACCGGAAAUACCUGGCAAAUACCCGUGUUACACGCCGGCCCCCCUCCUGCCAGCUCUGGAGCAGCCAGCCACGGUCCAGCCCGUUAGUGGCACUCUGGUGGCAAACAGGGAUUCUGAAGAGCUCCUCCUCCAUUCGGGUCAGCUGUGACGAUGGGUCUUAGGAAACUCGUUUUCCCAGCAUUUUGUUUCUCAUCGUGGGUAGGAAGUGUGAGCUGGGCAGCCGUGCCUCCUGCUGAUUGUAACAAGCACAAAGGCCGAGGGAGCAGAAGCGGUGAGAACAGCAGAGUCAGCUCCGAUGGGGGAGACACCUGGCUUCCGCCUUCUGCUGAAGCCUGUCUCCGGUGCAGGUGCAGCGGCAGACUUGUGGCCUGCUCUCCACCAUCAGGCCUUCCAUCCACCCAUGUGGUCUUCUGUCCAGACCAGCCCACCGCAUGGAUUGUCACCUGUCACCCAGGGCAGGUGACAGAGUCUCCUGCUGCAAUAUUUCUGCGAAACAGAGUCACGGUGGCGUAAAACAGAGAGCACCUUUUUCUUCCUCGUGGGAUCGCAGGUCAGACGCAACUCACCCGGCUAAGCUGACUGCCAGAGUGUGGGCUAGAGGUGCCGGGAUGCCAGCUGGUUUCCAGGCUAACCCAUGUGUCUCCUCAUCCUCUGAGGACCACUGACUACUUGGAACGUCGUCUUUUGGUGGCAGUUUCUGUGAAUGCAAGGUAGCCGGCUAGACGUGCAUGUGAGCUUAAAGAUGUUCGUGUGUUCCGUUCCAUUGCUAAACAGUCUGCGUGACUAAACCCAAUACCAACAUGGCAGGUAUGCAUAUAUUUCAAUUCUGCACCGUCUGCAAGGGGAGGUGGGAAAACGUGAUGGAUAAUUGUUAACUGUGGUGCGUCCAUCGUGAAGGGACAUUCCUGUAUGUUGACAGUCCUUCAGGAGAGGUAGAGAAACCAGGGUUGUCUUUGUUCAGCUCGGCUGUCUGGUCAAAGGCUUGGAACCCGGAAGGAAUGGCGUCUUGACAACCUACCAAGUGCGGCUUUGCAAAAUAUCAAUGAAUGCCAAUUCCAUUAAAUGUGCGGGGAAAUCUGAUCCAGUAUGCUAAAAUGUGAACAUUUGUGAGCGGUUCAAUGAGAUUGUAUUCUGUAAUCACUUUUCAAGACUCAGAAUGAUUUUGGUAGAGGAGAAUAUGGAGCAGUUUUUAUUUUAAAAACUUUUUUGGCAAGGACAAUAUACCAAAAGGAACUUUCAAUAUAUUUGCAUAUAAUAAAAUGUAGGAAGUAGAUUAACCUUGAAAUACA